rnacentral:lncRNA from 1 species
CACGUUGGGAUCUGCUUGUUCCUGCUGAAAUCGAUGGAAGUUCUCCUUCACAGCUGAUUGCAGUGGGGAAAAAUGGAUCCAGCUUAUGCAGAAUAAUGACAGGAGGGGGAAGGGGGUGUUGGUGAUGACACAAAGAGAGAGAAGAAAUAAAUCUCACUGGGACAGUGUGGACAGGAGCGCCUGUUUGCUCUGGAAAGAACUGGAAGAAGAAGAAAAGGAGUGGAUUGCUGCAGUACAUUAAUUGUACAAGAACUGCAAAAUGGCUGAAACCAGAGGGAUGAUAUUUAUAAAGCUGUCUAGUUUUGAAAAGAUCAAAGGCAUAGGUAGAGAAAUAAUCCAUUGGACGUGUCUAAUUACAAAACGUAUAUUGUAAAAAUAAAAUAAAAAUAGAAUAAAUUUUAAAAAAUCC